rnacentral:lncRNA from 1 species
UUCGUCCGCCGGACUCGGAAUGGCCCCAGACUUUGCGGGCGGCCUUCGUGUGCCAAAAAUAGGCCACGGGCACACCCGCGCCCAAAAAUCAGCCCCCGAAGGUCGGGGCGCCAAGAACCCCCAGCGGAAAAAUGGCCAAAAAACGGGUGGGCCGGCUAUAGCCUUGGUGGGGGGCGUGGGCGAAGUUCGUCCGCCGGACUCGGAAUGGCCCCAGACUUUGCGGGCGGCCUCCGUGUGCCAAAAAUAGGCCACGGGCACAGCCGCGCCCAAAAAUCAGCCCCCGAAGGUCGGGGUGCCAAGACCCCCCAGCGGAAAAAUGGCCAAAAAACGGGUGGGCUAUAGCCUUGGUGGGGGGCUUGGGCGAAGUUCGUCCGCCGGACUCGGAAUGGCCCCAGACUUUGCGGGCGGCUUCCGUGUGCCAAAAAUAGGCCACGGGCAGAGCCGCGCCCAAAAAUCAGCCCCCGAAGGUCGGGGUGCCAAGACCCCCCAGCGGAAAAAUGGCCAAAAAACGGGUGGGCUAUAGCCUUGGUGGGGGGCGUGGGCGAAGUUCGUCCGCCGGACUCGGAAUGGCCCCAGACUUUGCGGGCGGCCUUCGUGUGCCAAAAAUAGGCCACGGGCACACCCGCGUCCAAAAAUCAGCCCCCGAAGGUCGGGGCGCCAAGACCCCCCAGCGGAAAAAUGGCCAAAAAACGGGUGGGCGGGCUAUAGCCUUGGUGGGGGGCGUGGGCGAAGUUCGUCCGCCGGACUCGGAAUGGCCCCAGACUUUGCGGGCGGCCUCCGUGUGCCAAAAAUAGGCCACGUGCACAGCCGCGCCCAAAAAUCAGCUCCCGAAGGUCGGGGCGCCAAGACCCCCCAGCGGAAAAAUGGCCAAAAAACGGGUGGGCUAUAGCCUUGGUGGGGGGCGUGGGCGAAGUUCGUCCGCCGAACUCGGAAUGGCCCCAGACUUUGCGGGCGGCCUCCGUGUGCCAAAAAUAGGCCACGGGCACAGCCGCGCCCAAAAAUCAGCCCCCGAAGGUCGGGGUGCCAAGACCCCCCAGCGGAAAAAUGGCCAAAAAACGGGUGGGCUAUAGCCUUGGUGGGGGGCUUGGGCGAAGUUCGUCCGCCGGACUCGGAAUGGCCCCAGAAUUUGCGGGCGGCUUCCGUGUGCCAAAAAUAGGCCACGGGCACAGCCGCGCCCAAAAAUCAGCCGCCGAAGUCGGGGCGCCAAGAACCCCCAGCGGAAAAAUGGCCAAAAAACGGGUCGGCUAUAGCCUUGGUGGGGGGCGUGGGCGAAGUUCGUCCGCCGGACUCGGAAUGGCCCCAGACUUUGCGGGCGGCCUCCGUGUGCCAAAAAUAGGCCACGGUCACAGCCGCGCCCAAAAAUCAGCCCCCGAAGGUCGGGGCGCCAAGACCCCCCAGCGGAAAAAUGGCCAAAAAACGGGUGGGCUAUAGCCUUGGUGGCGGGCGUGGGCGAAGUUCGUCCGCCGAACUCGGAAUGGCCCCAGACUUUGCGGGCGGCCUCCGUGUGCCAAAAAUAGGCCACGGGCACAGCCGCGUCCAAAAAUCAGCCCCCGAAGUCGGGGCGCCAAGACCCCCCAGCGGAAAAAUGGCCAAAAAACGGGUGGGCUAUAGCCUUGGUGGGGGGCGUGGGCGAAGUUCGUCCGCCGGACUCGGAAUGGCCCCAGACUUUGCGGGCUGCUUCCGUGUGCCAAAAAUAGGCCACGGGCAGAGCCGCGCCCAAAAAUCAGCCCCCGAAGGUCGGGGCGCCAAGAACCCCCAGCGGAAAAAUGGCCAAAAAACGGGUCGGCUAUAGCCUUGGUGGGGGGCGUGGGCGAAGUUCGUCCGCCGGACUCGGAAUGGCCCCAGACUUUGCGGGCGGCCUCCGUGUGCCAAAAAUAGGCCACGGGCACAGCCGCGCCCAAAAAUCAGCCCCCGAAGGUCGGGGCGCCAAGACCCCCCAGCGGAAAAAUGGCCAAAAAACGGGUGAGCUAUAGCCUUGGUGGGGGGCGUGGGCGAAGUUCGUCCGCCGGACUCGGAAUGGCCCCAGACUUUGCGGGCGGCCUCCGUGUGCCAAAAAUAGGCCACGGGCACACCCGCGCCCAAAAAUCAGCCCCCGAAGGUCGGGGCGCCAAGACCCCCCAGCGGAAAAAUGGUCAAAAAACGGGUGGGCGGGGUAUAGCCUUGGUGGGGGGCGUGGGCGAAGUUCGUCCGCCGAACUCGGAAUGGCCCCAGACUUUGCGGGCGGCCUCCGUGUGCCAAAAAUAGGCCACGGGCACAGCCGCGCCCAAAAAUCAGCCCCCGAAGGUCGGGGUGCCAACACCCCCCAGCGGAAAAAUGGCCAAAAAACGGGUGGGCUAUAGCCUUGGUGGGGGGCGUGGGCGAAGUUCGUCCGCCGGACUCGGAAUGGCCCCAGACUUUGCGGGCGGCCUCCGUGUGCCAAAAAUAGGCCACGGGCACAGCCGCGCCCAAAAAUCAGCCGCCGAAGUCGGGGCGCCAAGAACCCCCAGCGGAAAAAUGGCCAAAAAACGGGUCGGCUAUAGCCUUGGUGGGGGGCGUGGGCGAAGUUCGUCCGCCGGACUCGGAAUGGCCCCAGACUUUGCGGGCGGCCUCCGUGAGCCAAAAAUAGGCCACGGGCACAGCCGCACCCAAAAAUCAGCCCCCGAAGGUCGGGGCGCCAAGACCCCCCAGCGGAAAAAUGGCCAAAAAACGGGUGAGCUAUAGCCUUGGUGGGGGGCGUGGGCGAAGUUCGUCCGCCGGACUCGGAAUGGCCCCAGACUUUGCGGGCGGCCUCCGUGUGCCAAAAAUAGGCCACGGGCACAGCCGCGUCAAAAAAUCAGCCCCCGAAGUCGGGGCGCCAAGACCCCCCAGCGGAAAAAUGGCCAAAAAACGGGUGGGCUAUAGCCUUGGUGGGGGGCGUGGGCGAAGUUCGUCCGCCGGACUCGGAAUGGCCCCAGACUUUGCGGGCUGCUUCCGUGUGCCAAAAAUAGGCCACGGGCAGAGCCGCGUCCAAAAAUCAGCCCCCGAAGGUCGGGGCGCCAAGACCCCCCAGCGGAAAAAUGGCCAAAAAACGGGUGGGCUAUAGCCUUGGUGGGGGGCGUGGGCGAAGUUCGUCCGCCGGACUCGGAAUGGCCCCAGACUUUGCGGGCAGCCUUCGUGUGCCAAAAAUAGGCCACGGGCACACCCGCGCCCAAAAAUCAGCCCCCGAAGGUCGGGGCGCCAAGAACCCCCAGCGGAAAAAUGGCCAAAAAACGGGUGGGCGGGCUAUAGCCUUGGUGGGGGGCGUGGGCGAAGUUCGUCCGCCGGACUCGGAAUGGCCCCAGACUUUGCGGGCGGCCUCCGUGUGCCAAAAAUAGGCCACGUGCAGAGCCGCGCCCAAAAAUCAGCCCCCGAAGGUCGGGGUGCCAAGACCCCCCAGCGGAAAAAUGGCCAAAAAACGGGUGGGCUAUAGCCUUGGUGGGGGGCGUGGGCGAAGUUCGUCCGCCGGACUCGGAAUGGCCCCAGACUUUGCGGGCAGCCUUCGGGUGCCAAAAAUAGGCCACGGGCACACCCGCGCCCAAAAAUCAGCCCCCGAAGGUCGGGGCGCCAAGAACCCCCAGCGGAAAAAUGGCCAAAAAACGGGUGGGCGGGCUAUAGCCUUGGUGGGGGGCGUGGGCGAAGUUCGUCCGCCGGACUCGGAAUGGCCCCAGACUUUGCGGGCGGCCUCCGUGUGCCAAAAAUAGGCCACGUGCAGAGCCGCGCCCAAAAAUCAGCCCCCGAAGGUCGGGGUGCCAAGACCCCCCAGCGGAAAAAUGGCCAAAAAACGGGUGGGCUAUAGCCUUGGUGGGGGGCGUGGGCGAAGUUCGUCCGCCGGACUCGGAAUGGCCCCAGACUUUGCGGGCGGCCUCCGUGUGCCAAAAAUAGGCCACGGGCACAGCCGCGCCCAAAAAAAUCAGCCCCCGAAGGUCGGGGCGCCAAGACCCCCCAGCGGAAAAAUAGCCAAAAAACGGGUGGGCUAUAGCCUUGGUGGGGGGCGUGGGCGAAGUUCGUCCGCCGGACUCGGAAUGGCCCCAGACUUUGCGGGCGGCCUCCGUGUGCCAAAAAUAGGCCACGGGCACACCCGCGCCCAAAAAUCAGCCCCCGAAGGUCGGGGCGCCAAGACCCCCCAGCGGAAAAAUGGCCAAAAAACGGGUGGGCGGGGUAUAGCCUUGGUAGGGGGCGUGGGCGAAGUUCGUCUGCCGGACUCGGAAUGGCCCCAGACUUUGCGGGCGGCCUCCGUGUGCCAAAAAUAGGCCACGGGCACAGCCGCGCCCAAAAAUCAGCCCCCGAAGGUCGGGGCGCCAAGACCCCCCAGCGGAAAAAUGGCCAAAAAACGGGUGGGCUAUAGCCUUGGUGGGGGGCGUGGGCGAAGUUCGUCCGCCGAACUCAGAAUGGCCCCAGACUUUGCGGGUGGCCUCCGUGGGCCAAAAAUAGGCCACGGGCAGAGCCGCGCCCAAAAAUCAGCCCCCGAAGGUCGGGGUGCCAAGACCCCCCAGCGGAAAAAUGGCCAAAAAACGGGUGGGCUAUAGCCUUGGUGGGGGGCGUGGGCGAAGUUCGUCCGCCGGACUCGGAAUGGCCCCAGACUUUGCGGGCGGCUUCCGUGUGCCAUAAAUAGGCCACGGGCAGAGCCGCGCCCAAAAAUCAGCCCCCGAAGGUCGGGGUGCCAAGACCCCCCAGCGUAAAAAUGGCCAAAAAACGGGUGGGCUAUAGCCUUGGUGGGGGGCGUGGGCGAAGUUCGUCCGCCGGACUCGGAAUGGCCCCAGACGUUGCGGGCGGCCUCCGUGUGCCAAAAAUAGGCCACGGGCACAGCCGCGCCCAAAAAUCAGCCCCCGAAGGUCGGGGUGCCAACACCCCCCAGCGGAAAAAUGGCCAAAAAACGGGUGGGCUAUAGCCUUGGUGGGGGGCGUGGGCGAAGUUCGUCCGCCGGACUCGGAAUGGCCCCAGACUUUGCGGGCGGCCUCCGUGUGCCAAAAAUAGGCCACGGGCACAGCCGCGCCCAAAAAUCAGCCCCCGAAGUCAGGGCGCCAAGACCACCCAGCGGAAAAAUGGCCAAAAAACGGGUGGGCUAUAGCCUUGGUGGGGGGCGUGGGCGAAGUUCGUCCGCCGGACUCGGAAUGGCCCCAGACUUUGCGGGCGGUUUCCGUGUGCCAAAAAUAGGCCACGAGCAGAGCCGCGCCCAAAAAUCAGCCCCCGAAGGUCGGGGCGCCAAGACCCCCCAGCGGAAAAAUGGCCAAAAAACGGGUGGGCUAUAGCCUUGGUGGGGGGCGUGGGCGAAGUUCGUCCGCCGGACUCGGAAUGGCCCCAGACUUUGCGGGCGGCCUUCGUGUGCCAAAAAUAGGCCACGGGCACACCCGCGCCCAAAAAUCAGCCCCCGAAGGUCGGGGCGCCAAGAACCCCCAGCGGAAAAAUGGCCAAAAAACGGGUGGGCCGGCUAUAGCCUUGGUGGGGGGCGUGGGCGAAGUUCGUCCGCCGGACUCGGAAUGGCCCCAGACUUUGCGGGCGGCCUCCGUGUGCCAAAAAUAGGCCACGGGCACAGCCGCGCCCAAAAAUCAGCCCCCGAAGGUCGGGGUGCCAAGACCCCCCAGCGGAAAAAUGGCCAAAAAACGGGUGGGCUAUAGCCUUGGUGGGGGGCUUGGGCGAAGUUCGUCCGCCGGACUCGGAAUGGCCCCAGACUUUGCGGGCGGCUUCCGUGUGCCAAAAAUAGGCCACGGGCAGAGCCGCGCCCAAAAAGCAGCCCCCGAAGGUCGGGGUGCCAAGACCCCCCAGCGGAAAAAUGGCCAAAAAACGGGUGGGCUAUAGCCUUGGUGGGGGGCGUGGGCGAAGUUCGUCCGCCGAACUCAGAAUGGCCCCAGACUUUGCGGGUGGCCUCCGUGGGCCAAAAAUAGGCCACGGGCAGAGCCGCGCCCAAAAAUCAGCCCCCGAAGGUCGGGGUGCCAAGACCCCCCAGCGGAAAAAUGGCCAAAAAACGGGUGGGCUAUAGCCUUGGUGGGGGGCGUGGGCGAAGUUCGUCCGCCGGACUCGGAAUGGCCCCAGACUUUGCGGGCGGCUUCCGUGUGCCAUAAAUAGGCCACGGGCAGAGCCGCGCCCAAAAAUCAGCCCCCGAAGGUUCGGGUGUCAAGACCCCCUCACCGGAAAAAUGGCCAAAAAACGGGUGGGCUAUAGCCUUGGUGGGGGGCGUGGGCGAAGUUCGUCCGCCGAACUCGGAAUGGCCCCAGACUUUGUGGGCGGCCUCCGUGUGCCAAAAAUGGCCCAGGGCCGAACCCCCCCCCAAAAUCCACCCCCGAAGGGUGGGGGGCCCAGGCUCCCCCAGCGGAAAAAUGGCCAAAAAACGGGUGGGCUAUAGCCUUGGUGGGGGGCGUGGGCGAAGUUCGUCUGCCGGACUCGGAAUGGCCCCAGACGUUGCGGGCGGCCUCCGUGUGCCAAAAAUAGGCCACGGGCACAGCCGCGCCCAAAAAUCAGCCCCCGAAGGUCGGGGUGCCAACACCCCCGAGCGGAAAAAUGGCCAAAAAACGGGUGGGCUAUAGCCUUGGUGGGGGGCGUGGGCGAAGUUCGUCCGCCGGACUCGGAAUGGCCCCAGACUUUGCGGGCGGCUUCCGUGUGCCAAAAAUAGGCCACGGGCAGAGCCGCGCCCAAAAAUCAGCCCCCGAUGGUCGGGGCGCCAAGACCCCCCAGCGGAAAAAUGGCCAAAAAACGGGUGGGCUAUAGCCUUGGUGGGGGGCGUGGGCUAAGUUCGUCCGCCGGACUCGGAAUGGCCCCAGACUUUGCGGGCGGCGUCCGUGUGCCAAAAAUAGGCCACGGGCAGAGCCGCGCCCAAAAAUCAGCCCCCGAAGGUCGGGGUGCCAAGACCCCCCAGCGGAAAAAUGGCCAAAAAACGGGUGGGCUAUAGCCUUGGUGGGGGGCGUGGGCGAAGUUCGUCCGCCGGACUCGGAAUGGCCCCAGACUUUGCGGGCGGCCUUCGUGUGCCAAAAAUAGGCCACGGGCACACCCGCGUCCAAAAAUCAGCCCCCGAAGGUCGGGGCGCCAAGACCCCCCAGCGGAAAAAUGGCCAAAAAACGGGUGGGCGGGCUAUAGCCUUGGUGGGGGGCGUGGGCGAAGUUCGUCCGCCGGACUCGGAAUGGCCCCAGCGGGCGGCCUCCGUGUGCCAAAAAUAGGCCACGUGCACAGCCGCGCCCAAAAAUCAGGUCCCGAAGGUCGGGGCGCCAAGACCCCCCAGCGGAAAAAUGGCCAAAAAACGGGUGGGCUAUAGCCUUGGUGGGGGGCGUGGGCGAAGUUCGUCCGCCGAACUCGGAAUGGCCCCAGACUUUGCGGGCGGCCUCCGUGUGCCAAAAAUAGGCCACGGGCACAGCCGCGCCCAAAAAUCAGCCCCCGAAGGUCGGGGUGCCAAGACCCCCCAGCGGAGAAAUGGCCAAAAAACGGGUGGGCUAUAGCCUUGGUGGGGGGCUUGGGCGAAGUUCGUCCGCCGGACUCGGAAUGGCCCCAGACUUUGCGGGCGGCUUCCGUGUGCCAAAAAUAGGCCACGGGCAGAGCCGCGCCCAAAAAUCAGCCCCCGAAGGUCGGGGUGCCAAGACCCCCCAGCGGAAAAAUGGCCAAAAAACGGGUGGGCUAUAGCCUUGGUGGGGGGCGUGGGCGAAGUUCGUCCGCCGGACUCGGAAUGGCCCCAGACUUUGCGGGCGGCCUUCGUGUGCCAAACAUAGGCCACGGGCACACCCGCGUCCAAAAAUCAGCCCCCUAAGGUCGGGGCGCCAAGAACCCCCAGCGGAAAAAUGGCCAAAAAACGGGUGGGCGGGCUAUAGCCUUGGUGGGGGGCGUGGGCGAAGUUCGUCCGCCGGACUCGGAAUGGCCCCAGACUUUGCGGGCGGCCUCCGUGUGCCAAAAAUAGGCCACGUGCACAGCCGCGCCCAAAAAUCAGCUCCCGAAGGUCGGGGCGCCAAGACCCCCCAGCGGAAAAAUGGCCAAAAAACGGGUGGGCUAUAGCCUUGGUGGGGGGCGUGGGCGAAGUUCGUCCGCCGAACUCGGAAUGGCCCCAGACUUUGCGGGCGGCCUCCGUGUGCCAAAAAUAGGCCACGGGCACAGCCGCACCCAAAAAUCAGCCCCCGAAGGUCGGGGUGCCAAGACCCCCCAGCGGAAAAAUGGCCAAAAAACGGGUGGGCUAUAGCCUUGGUGGGGGGCUUGGGCGAAGUUCGUC